CGGAAGGGGCGGCGGAGCACCGAUCUCAUGGAUGGGCUCCGAGGGGCUUGCGGGAGGGGGGCGCCAGUGUUCGGGGCCGUUUUGGCGGCUAUGCAGGAUUGGCAGGAGCUGCGAUGCUCACACUUGCCUCGCCGACCGCCAUUUCACAUCCAGCAGAGGAGGCGGGGGCAGCCGCUGAGACGGUUUUUCACAAGGAAAUGACCUCAUUCUUGAUGGCUGCUGCUAACUUAUGGUGAGAUGCUGGGUCCCUGCCCAAUACCACAUGGACAUCCAAUCAAUUUACCCAGGGACAAGUCCACUCAAGAGCAUCAUUUAGAAGAGGGAAAAGGCACUGGGGUUAUUUGUUUUUGGAGUAUGUGCUUAAGGAAAUCUAGAGUAUUCCCACGAGCAUUCUGCUGAGAUGAACAAUCAGAUGACCUCGUGUGAGAUUUGGAGGAGAGAAGGAAAUGGAGAGCAUGCGUCUGCCGCUUCUGUGGUUUCUGUCGGCUUUCUCCAUAUUUACGUGCUUGUAACUCUGGCAUGACCUUUGCUCCAGUCUCUACCAGAGGGCGGUGCCUGGAUUGAAGUGGAAAAGCCCUGUUUUCCAGCCAUGACCCAGGGAGCAAGCACUGACUCCUCAGGGGAACAGGAGACCUGCCAACUAGGACCCUGGGAGCCCCCAUGCUGGCAGUGCCCUGGGUCAUCUCAGGCUCAUCAGCAAAUCCUGGGGGGAGAGCGGGGCUGGAGGGCGAAGAAGCCCAGGAGAGUUCCUGGCUCAGAACCCCUCUCUGAGGCUCCCAAUACAGAGCCCAGGCCCCACACCCAGGGCCUCUGAGUAUUUUUGUUUAUUGUAUGUAAAAUACUAGUGUAUUUUUGUUUAAGUCUCACAGGUAAACAGGUUCUCUCAUACUUUGCCAAGGGAAAUGUGAUCUGUGCAAUUUGGCAAUAACUAUCAGAAUUUUAAAAGCUUAUGCCCUUUGACCUAGUAAUUUCACUUCUAAGAAUUUCCCCUGCAGAGAUAUGUAUAUCUUGUAUGAAAUGAAGAGGCUACGAAGACAGGCAACGCCGCAGUGUUUAUAAUAGCGAAGACCAGACACAACCCACAUGUCUAAAGGUUCUGAUUUUUAAAACUGUAGUAUAUCUGUACAAUGAGCACUCCACAUCCUUUAAGAAUGAGGAAGGGCUGUGUGAACUGAAAUGGAACUAUCUCUAAGAUUUAUUAAGUUAAAAAAAUUCAAGAGUAGCACAGUGUGUAGGGUAUGCCAUCAUUUGUAUGAUAUAAGGUCGUAUAUCUGCCAUCUCAAAUGAGGAACAGUGGUUGCCUCUGGGAAGGGAAUUGGAUGGCUAGGAAUGGGGUAGGAAAGAGGUUUGCUUUUCAGAACAUUUUAUACUAUUUAAGUUUUGUAACAAGUGCAUCUAUUUUGACUUAAAAGAUAAAAAAUGAAAAGGAAAGGCUCCACUAGUGAUUCUGAUGCUCACAAAGAUUAAGAACCAAUGCGAAUGAGGAACUCAUGACACCGCCCAGGAGACAGUGAACAUAUCUCUUCAAAUAUCAAAAACCUUUCAGCAGAGGGUGAGAACAUGUGCCUGGGGUAAGCAUGGGUGGGCAUGAGCUGGGUACAGAGGUGAUUCCCAGGGACAUACAACUACCUUGCCCUCCUGGGAUCAGGUCUUCCUCCCACCUUAGCCUCCCAUAUUGUUGGGACCACAGGCAUGCACCACCACACCUGGUUAAUUUUUUUUUUUUUUUUUUUUUUGUAGCGACAGAGUCUCGCCAUGUUGCCUAGGCUGGUCUCGAACUCCUGGGCUCAGGCAAUCCUUCUGCCUCGUCCUUCCAAAGUGCUGAGAUUACAGGCAUGAGCCACUGCACCCAGCCUGACAGUAGCUUUUAAUCUCUGGACUCUCAUCACCGUUUGGACUGUGAGCUGUGGUUCUAGCUCUUGGAUCUGAUGGGCAUCUUCCCUCAAAUAUGUCAGUUUCUCUCUCCAGGUCCCUUGCUUUGUCUUCCUUUUUGCCUCCUCGGGCCUGAUACCUUUCUCUGGGCUUCUCUACUCUGCCCCGAGCUGCCUAGUUUUGCGAAUAAUGUCACAUCCAGAUGUCAGCAGCCCUGAUGUCCAUGUGACAAUGCUCCCUUGCUGUCCAUGUGACAAUGCUCCCUUGGUGUCCCAGUGACAGAUUUUCCCAUGCUUCACCCUCUCUCUUUUUUAAUUUUUUUUUCUGUACACAGCUCUCAGUCAAGCCCCUUGAGCUGCCUCCAACUGUUUGCUCAUGUCUGUUCCCAGCAAUCUUUUCCUCUUUUAGCACAAUCUUCCUUAACUUACUAGUUUUUUGAAACAGAGCCUAUUAGUCUUCACAGCGCUACCUUUCUGAUCUCAGAGUUCACCAAAAAGCUUUUCCUCCCAUCAUGCCUGCCUCCCUUUCUUCAGGUCCGUUAGAGUCCACCGUGGCCUGUGUGGGAAGCAAGUCUCUCCCAGGGCACACAUGAACAGACUUCAUGCCCACAUCCACAGUGAACAGUGGCUUCUGCCUUCCAGAUGGGCUUACCCUAAAUCAACACAUAUUCCUAGGAUGUGGGAACAUAUGCAAUACUUAAAUGCACAGGCUCUGGGUUCAGACUCCCUAGGGUUAAAUUCUCCCUGUGCCGGCUAGCUGCAUGAUUAGAUUUGUGAUCUUGACAAAGUUACCUAACGUCUCUGGGCCUCACUUUUCUCAUCUGCAAAAUAGGGAAAAUAGCAACACUUCUCCAUAGGGGUGUGGUGAGGAUAAAGAGUAGAUGUAAAUAAAGUGUUGAAUGUAGAGCCUGGCACAUAUCAAGCUCUUAAAAAGCAAUGGCCAUUUUGUUAUUUUUACCGCAACGACAACUGCAGUUAUUAUCUGGCUUCAGAGCUCUCUUUUUAAAAACAGUAUUCCCUGGUUUUACACCCAGGUGCUAAUACUAUUCUAUGAAGCUAAUGUAUAGAGACCAUAUCUUUUUAACAAACGUGUAUAUAUGAGUCAUUUCCGGCACAUUUGAUACACAUCAUCUCGUUUGGUCCUUAAAACAAGCCUAGGCCAUAAGCAGGGUACGUGUUACCACUUUGCCAUUCCUGUUUUACAGAGGCUUAGACACAUUGAGAAGCUUUUCCAUAGUCACUUAACAAGUGAUGGGUGAAGCCAAAUCAAGCCUUUAGAUCUCCAAGCUCUUUCCAUUAAACCAUAUAAAUCACGGGUUGGCAAACUUUUUCUGCAAAGGGGACAGAUAGUAAAUAGUUUAAGCCUUAUGGGCCACAUGCUGUGUCUGUUUCAUAUUCUGCUCCUUUUUUAUUUUUAUUUUUUUUAAGAAAAGACACCCUUUAAACAUAUAAAAACCAUUCUGAGCAACAGGCUGGUGCUAAAAACAGGUCAUGGUAACCAUUGGCUCUAGGGUUGUAGUUUACUGUUGAUAUAGAUUGUACACUGAUAAGCCAAAAUACAAACCUAAUGAAACUGACAUACUUAAGGAACUUUACUCUUUGUUAGCAAUCAUUGUUAAUAUUUAUUGAAUGGUGACUACGUGGGAAAUGCUGUUCCAAGUGUGAUAGAUAUAUUAACUUACUUAAUCCUCACACCCACUCUAAUUUCCUAAGUACUAUUGUCAGACUCAUUUUACAGACAGGAAAAGCAAGGCAUAGAGAAGGUAAGUAACUUUUCCGAGGUCACAUGGCUAUUAAGUAGCAGAGCUGUGAUUCAAAUAUAAGCGGUUUGGCACCAGAUCCUGUGCACUUAACCGCUUGCAUCUCGGUUGGGAGCACUGACUGGUUCAGCUAUUGGGAGGGAAGAAAGGGGAUGGGGAAGCCACAUAACCCCUAGGAGAUUCUGUAAUAAAUAUGCUUCAGAGCCAUUCACCUUGAAGCUGAGGAGGCAUGGAAGCAGGCCACCUGUGUUCUGUACAGCAUCACCAGGCUGGAAAUCUGCCAUGGCUUUCCUUCACGCCAUCACAAGAGGAUACAGAUGAGGCUGCAGAGGCAUCUUGAUUUGAGAAAAGCAUUUGACUGGAUCUCAUUAAAUUUUAAUCAUUAACUGAAUUCAAAAUAAAUUGAAAACUGGUUGACAGAGCACCAACAAAGGGUGAUGAUAAAUGGUGAUGCAUCUAGAGGGGAGCUAUCUUCCAGGGGACAACUCUAAGGCAAGGACGGAUGGGAUUUAAUGAAGGUGUUAUGUCCCCAGAAGAAGACAAAUAGCACAGCAAGGAACAGAGGAAGGACAGGAGUGAGCAGCCUGAGUAAUUAAUAAACCAUAUUAACAGCUCCUCCAUAAUCAGGCCUUGGUGAUCACAACUGCUUGGAUUUUUUCUUAAGCUUUCUUUGAGUCAGGAAUAGGUUUGAAGCGUCCUAGAGACACACAGCAUGAAUAUUUCAGGUGGACAUUAAAAAGAAAUCUAUAAAUUUACAGCUGGGAGGAUCCUGAGAUCUACUUCGGAUCAGAAACUUUCAAUUACAAGAUUCCCAAGGCCUUACUUCAUUCCCCAGAGAGUAAUCUUUUUAAUAAAUGUCCAAAAGUCAUGGAUUUAAAAAAAAAUCUUUAAACUCAUUAAUGUCCUUUGUUUCCUGCCCAAAUGCAUGCAAACUUUCAUAACACUGGUUUGCUGAGUGGAAGGUUGGUUUUGAGUGAACUGUUUGGCUCAGAUUCAAACUCCAAUGAACAAAUACUUCCAAGUUUACUUGCUGAAUUUCCCAUACAGAGAAGUUCUUCCACUGGGCUUGCCAGAGGAUUUGAAACAGUGGUGAGCCCUGGAAGGAAGGGAAUAUUUACUGGCCCUUGGACAUAAACCCAGCACAGUAAGACUCACAUCAGGCUGAAGGCAGUGCAGUAUGAACCGACCUGAUUUGAGGAAGUUUGCUCUGGGACUCCUCUGAGCUACUAAAUGAGGAGGAGAAGGACUAAUGGGAACACACUGACUCCAUCACAUUAGAAGUUAUAAUAAACAUUUAGAGAACAACCUCAAA
rnacentral:lncRNA from 1 species